UAAUAGCACAUUCUCAAAUUGAAUGGGGUAGGGCUGACCCCCGGUGACUUCCCUUUAAUUUCAUUUGAUUUGUUUUACUGUCCCAUUCAAGAAUAUAUAUGGUUUAGGGGUGGGGAUCUGGACCGUUUACAAGAUAAAAGCAUAUUCUCAAAUUAAAGGUGGUGGGGUGACCCCCGGACUUCCCCUUAUUUCAUGUGAUUCGUUUUAUUGUCCUUUAAUCAUUUCUGAAGACUGCAUGUAUCUAUCACUUACAGUUUUCAAGUUAUAUUUAUU
rnacentral:lncRNA from 1 species